AGUAAUGACGCGAGGUCACCAGUACGAUACUCACCUAGUGAUAUAUGCUGGCCUAAUCCAUCAAUAGAAAUAGCAAGAAGAAAAUCCUGAGCAUGUGCUGCUAAAUCUUGUGGUCAUAUUAAACUUAACUUCCAUGCCCUGAACAAUUUUACCAAACAAAACACGCGCAAAAAAAUAUUGGGCUUUAAGGGGGAUGGUGUCCUUCCUAGUAAAACUGCUCAAGUCAAAACUAGGAAUCGUUUCAUGAAGACCAUUCAAAGCACUUCCAAAAUCAGAGUUCAUACGAAAUGCCUCACCAUUUCUCAAUAUAUGAUCUUGUAACACCCAAGAUUGCGCUCUUUAAGCCACAAAACCCAGUCUCUACUGCAGAUCUCCAACCUUAAUAGGUAAGGAAGCUAACUGAUGUAGGAGGAUUUCUUCUGUAUUUUAUUAUUUUAGUUAGAUUUAGUUCUAUUAUAUUUUAGGUUGAUUCUUUAUUUUUAUAUUUCACCUAGGUUAGUUAUUUUUAUAUUUUAGGUAGAUUUGUAAUUUUUAUUUAGCUAGGUUUGUUGUUUUUAUUUUCACAAUCUUUAGGAGAUUUGUUAAUUUUAUUUGUCACUCCUAUUUAAGCUAAAUUAUUGUAGCCUUGAAGGGAACCUUUUUGAUUUAAUAAAAUUCAGAGAUUUUUCUCAAAUUUGGUGGAUUCCAAAUUACUCUUUCGGUGGACUCCGAAACCCUAUUUUGACAAGUUGGUGUUUGCGGCUUGUCUUUAUCCAUUAGGUUUGGCGUUUUGCUAACCUAGCGCUU
rnacentral:lncRNA from 1 species